GAUGAACGCUGGCGGCGUGCCUAAUACAUGCAAGUCGAGCGAACGGACGAGAAGCUUGCUUUUCUGAUGUUAGCGGCGGACGGGUGAGUAACACGUGGAUAACCUACCUAUAAGACUGGGAUAACUUCGGGAAACCGGAGCUAAUACCGGAUAAUAUUUUGAACCGCAUGGUUCAAAAGUGAAAGACGGUCUUGCUGUCACUUAUAGAUGGAUCCGCGCUGCAUUAGCUAGUUGGUAAGGUAACGGCUUACCAAGGCAACGAUGCAUAGCCGACCUGAGAGGGUGAUCGGCCACACUGGAACUGAGACACGGUCCAGACUCCUACGGGAGGCAGCAGUAGGGAAUCUUCCGCAAUGGGCGAAAGCCUGACGGAGCAACGCCGCGUGAGUGAUGAAGGUCUUCGGAUCGUAAAACUCUGUUAUUAGGGAAGAACAUAUGUGUAAGUAACUGUGCACAUCUUGACGGUACCUAAUCAGAAAGCCACGGCUAUCUACGUG
rnacentral:rRNA from 1 species